UCUACUUUAAAGCAUUUACAAAACAAUAACAUAUUACUUGUCAAAAUGAACUUACAGGCAUCUUACUUUUAUAUCGGCCAUGGCAUAUGCAAUUAAAAAAUUAUCGUCAUUUUCUAUAUCUUAAUUUGCUAUGAUAAAUGUAUUUGAAAGCAAUUGUGAAACUUAAUCAUGGAGCUCUGCAUCAGGGACCGGGUUCAUAAAAUAGAGGGUAUUGAAUUAGUGUAGGUUCAAUACUGAAUUAAUUGAACGAGUUGAAUAAAUUUGUAUUAUACGAGCCUUUUGCGAGCAUAAUAUUAUUUCAUUGGACGAGUUCUAUAAAUUUAGUAAUGAACCUACAAGAAUAUAAUGGUGUAUUUAUCAUAUACCUAAAUAAAACAUUUUUUCGUUAAAACAUUCAUAUUUUCAUUGACGCGUAAUGCAAACAUUAGCGCGCUAUAAAGUUACGCAAGUGACACCACGUCAAGAUACUAGUAUACACUGUAAAUUUAAAUAUCAGACCGUUUUGUUGAUUGUUUUUUUUCUCAGAAACUAGAAAAUGUGUAGGAAAGGAAACAAAUUCUGCAGUAAGCGGAGGAAUGAUCGGAGGAAUUGUUGGUGGCAUCGUUUUAUGUUUUGUUGUUGUCGCAGUGGCAUGCUUUCUGUUCCGUAGGCAAACAAUUUGCAGCAAAGGACAUCUAAAGAAAACACCUGACAAGGCAAUAACACGUGAACAUGAAUAUGUUGAUCUAAAACAAACACAAAACGUUAACAUCAAUCCUGUAUAUGAUGACCUGCAAACUGAUUCAG